GAUGAACGCUGGCGGCGUGCUUAACACAUGCAAGUCGAACGAAGCACUUUUGAUUCUUCGGAAGAGAAAGUGACUGAGUGGCGGACGGGUGAGUAACGCGUGGGUAACCUGCCUUAUACAGGGGGAUAACAGUUAGAAAUGACUGCUAAUACCGCAUAAGCCGAUAGAGUCGCAUGACUUAGUCGGAAAAGAUUUAUCGGUAUAAGAUGGACCCGCGUCUGAUUAGCUAGUUGGUGAGGUAAUGGCCCACCAAGGCGACGAUCAGUAGCCGGCUUGGGAGAGUGAACGGCCACAUUGGGACUGAGACACGGCCCAAACUCCUACGGGAGGCAGCAGUGGGGAAUAUUGCACAAUGGGGGAAACCCUGAUGCAGCAACGCCGCGUGAAGGAAGAAGUAUUUCGGUAUGUAAACUUCUAUCAGCAGGGAAGAAAAUGACGGUACCUGACUAAGAAGCCCCGGCUAACUACGUGCAGCAGCCGCCGUAA
rnacentral:rRNA from 1 species